rnacentral:rRNA from 1 species
AGGUAUGCGUACACAUGCACAUCGAGCGCAUGGAUUAAGAGCUUGCUCUUAUGAAGUUAGCGGCGGCACGGGUGAGUAACACGUGGGUAACCUGCCCAUAAGACUGGGAUAACUCCGGGAAACCGGGGCUAAUACCGGAUAACAUUUUGAACCGCAUGGUUCGAAAUUGAAAGGCGGCUUCGGCUGUCACUUAUGGAUGGACCCGCGUCGCAUUAGCUAGUUGGUGAGGUAACGGCUCACCAAGGCAACGAUGCGUAGCCGACCUGAGAGGGUGAUCGGCCACACUGGGACUGAGACACGGCCCAGACUCCUACGGGAGGCAGCAGUAGGGAAUCUUCCGCAAUGGACGAAAGUCUGACGGAGCAACGCCGCGUGAGUGAUGAAGGCUUUCGGGUCGUAAAACUCUGUUGUUAGGGAAGAACAAGUGCUAGUUGAAUAAGCUGGCACCUUGACGGUACCUAACCAGAAAGCCACGGCUAACUACGUGCCAGCAGCCGCGGUAAUACGUAGGUGGCAAGCGUUAUCGGGAAUUAUUGGGCGUAAAGCGCGCGCAGGUGUUUCUUAGUCUGAUGUGAAAGCCCACGGCUCACCGUGGAGGGUCGUUGGAACUGGGGAGACUCAGGGCAAAAGAGGAAGGGAAUUUCCAUGAUGAGCGGCUAAUUGUGAAGAGUGGC